rnacentral:rRNA from 1 species
UACGUAUGGUGCAAGCGUUAUCCGGAUUUACUGGGAGUAAAGGGAGCGCAGGCGGCACGGCAAGCCUGAUGUGAAAGCCCGCGGCCCAACCGCGGGACUGCAUUGGGAACUACCGGGCUGGAGUGCCGGAGAGGUAGGCGGAAUUCCUAGUGUAGCGGUGAAAUGCGUAGAUAUUAGGAGGAACACCAGUGGCGAAGGCGGCCUACUGGACGGUGACUGACGCUGAGGCUCGAAAGCGUGGGGAGCAAACAGG